CUUCUGGAAGGAGGACCUAAAAUGC
rnacentral:rRNA from 1 species